rnacentral:rRNA from 1 species
UACGUAGGGAGCAAGCGUUGUCCGGAAUCAUUGGGCGUAAAGCGCGCGUAGGCGGCCCGAUAAGUCCGCUGUGAAAGUCAACGGCUCAACUGUUGGAUGCCGGUGGAUACUGUCGGGCUAGAGUACGGAAGAGGCAAGUGGAAUUCCUGGUGUAGCGGUGGAAUGCGCAGAUAUCAGGAGGAACACCGGUGGUGUAGACGGCUUUCUGGACCGUAACUGACGCUGAGACACGAAAGCGUGGGUAGCAAACAGG